GCCCUUAUAGCUCAGUGGUAGAGCGCAGCACUUGUACCUUGAAUUCGUAUGCUUGUAUGCAGAAAUUCAUGCAAAGGUGAAAUGCUGAGGUCUUGAGUUCAAUCCUCAAUGGGGGCA